CAGGACGACGCUGGCGGCGUGCCUAAUACAUGCAAGUCGAACGGUCUUUCUAUGGAAGCUUGCUUCCACUGAGAAGAUAGUGGCGAACGGGUGAGUAACACGUGGGUAACCUGCCCAUAAGAGGGGGAUAACAUCCGGAAACGGGUGCUAAUACCGCAUAGUUUUCUUGAUCGCAUGAUCGGGAAAGGAAAGACGGCCUUUGUGCUGUCGCUUAUGGAUGGACCCGCGGCGUAUUAGUUAGUUGGUGAGGUAACGGCUCACCAAGACGAUGAUACGUAGCCGACCUGAGAGGGUGAUCGGCCACAUUGGGACUGAGACACGGCCCAAACUCCUACGGGAGGCAGCAGUAGGGAAUCUUCCGCAAUGGACGAAAGUCUGACGGAGCAACGCCGCGUGAGUGAAAGAAGGUUUUCGGAUCGUAAAACUCUGUUGUCAGAGAAGAACAAGUUGGAGAGUAACUGCUCCAGCCUUGACGGUAUCUGACCAGAAAGCCACGGCUAACUACGUGCCAGCCGCCGC
rnacentral:rRNA from 1 species